GACCCCGCCUGCCAACACCGCACCUGCCUGGUGACUUAACCACUCGCUCCUUAAUCCCAACAAAGGAUUGUUGAGCCUCACUCCCCUGAUAAAUAAGCAUUUACUGAGCACCGUUCAUGUGUGUGAGAAACACACCAGGCCAGGUGAUGGGAUCCAGAACUGUAACUAGAGCUGCUGUUCGGAGCCUGAUGGAGAAGUCCAUGGAGAUGGAUGACAACACAGAGCCGCCACCACUGUGCUCAGGGGAGUGUGGGGACAGUGGGGCUGGCCAGGAAGGCCCAUGGCAGGCAGGUUGAACAAAACAGGAAGAGCUUCCUAACGGAGGAAGCUGAGCAGAUGCGGAGCAGCCUGGAGCCGAGGAGCUGCCGGUCCAGGGGCAGGGCAGCCGGAGGUCUAGAGGAAGCCCACAGCAAGGGAGGAGCAACAGCCCCAGGGCAAGAGGGGCACCUGGCCAGGUAACCUGCUGCCUCCAGCUGGGUCCCCAAACAGAAGUUUAAGGUCUCCUAACCUGGCCCCUGCGCUCUACAGGCCUGUCCUGCCCUGCAGAGUGUGGUCACACGAGGGAACUAACGGCAGUGCUCCCUGUUGAGGGCCAGAUGUGCCAUUACGGCCUUCUAGAUUUGUGCUACCACAGGACUGUGGACCCCAGAAUUCAAGAUGAGCCCUGAGCCCCAAGACAGGGGGCAAGGGUGGGGGCUGCCAGACCACGUAGCAGGCUGAGCUGGGCACUGGGAGGGGAGAGCCCAGCAGCCCGGGACCCUCCCCCGUCAUUGCCUCUCUCAGGCCAUUUCCUCCCUCAGGUUUAGAAGCCGACCCGCUCCCUGCCAUGACUUUGGGGGCCCCAAACCAUACCCUUCCUCUUUCCUGCUGCCCUACACUACCCCUUCCACCCGGCCCCAGCCCACAGGCAUCAAGAGGGACCUGGAAGGGGCCCAGAGGGGAGCAGAGCCUCCCUAGCUCCUCCGUAAUCUCUGUGGAGGCCGUUGACUUAGAAAUUUUGGAAAAUACUUUCUGCUGUGGAUCUGACCACGGUCAGUGGCCUUCUGCAGCUCCUCCUAGCUGAGGACGCACGUCCACCAGCACUGCCACAGGCAGAGCACCGUUUCCAGCGGGCUCCCUGUGUGUCUACCGCGCCUUCCUGAUGUACAUGUCAGUGUCCAAAUCUGGAGACCAACGAGGCCUUGGGACGUGGUAGACCCCUUCCCCCUGCACUCUCAGGGAGAGCUUGGGCCCACUGAGCAGAGCGGACAGCACAGGGGAGCAGGGGUGUGCACCCCUAGGAAAGGGGCUCUUCUCCCCCAGCCUGCAGCCAUCAAGCCCAGGGACCUGGGGGUCGAUUCUGAAAGACUGAUGGCCAGGGAGCUCCUUCCUGUGGCCCUCCUCGCGGGCCUCGGAAGCCUGCCUCCACAGCUGGUCCCCACUUGCCUCUGCCCAUCCUGCUACGGGCUGUACGUGCAGGGGCUGGACCAGUGGCUGGCACAGGCGGGGAACGAAGCAGAGUGUAACUGUGGCUCCCGCAGGUUCUCAUGCCCACCAGGAAGCAGGAGGGCUUACCUCCAGGGUUCUCUGUCAGGGUGCUGAGGGCCAGCAUGAGAACCAUGAGCAGGAUGCAGGUCACCUUGUGCCCCAUGGCCACUUUGCCUCCUCUCGGCCCAGAGCAGACCACGAGUCAGGGAUAGAAACCUGUCCGAGUUCUCACCUUUAUACCGCAGGCCUAUUUGCUUAGAGUGUGAGAUAGCGUUUGCCUAAGGAGGGUCCCCAGCCCUCCAUGCCAACAAUCUCCACCAAUCACAAGCUGUUCCUGAGACGCGCUGAAGCCCGUCAGCGGGUGUGCUGUUAUGGAGAACACUGUGCGGACGGUCAUCUAGGGGCAGGGAUUCAAGAUUCAGAAAGUCCCUCUCUUUUUUACCCCCCCCCCUUCUAUUUUUUUUAACUUGUUCUAACUAGUUAUCCAGGACAGUAGAAUGCAUUUUGACACACUGUACACAAAGGAGCACAUCUUCUCCGUCCUCUGGCUGUGCAUGGUCAGUCACUCCAGUAGUGACACAGGUACGUAGGGUAACAAUGUCUGCCUCAUUCUACGGUCCUUCCCAUCCCCACUGCCACCCCUCCCCUCCCUCGCCUCUGCACAAGCCAAAGUUCCUUCACUCUUCCCUACCCUCUCCCCCUGCCCCACUAUGGAUCAGCAUCUGCUUAUCAGAGAAAACAUUCGGCCUUUGGCUUUUUGGGAUUGGGUUAGGUCACUUAGCAUGAUGUUCUCUACUGGGGACUGGGACCAUCCACUUACCUGCAAAUGCCAUAAUCUCAUUCUUCUCUAAGGCUGAGUAAUUCUCCAUUGUGUGUAUACACCACAUUUUCUUUACCCAUUCAUCUGUUGUAGGUCACCUAGGAUGGUUCCACAGUUUAGCUAUUGUGAACUGAGCUGCUAUAAACACUGAUGUGGCUGCA